GCGGCGGACGGGUGAGUAACACGUGGGCAACCUGCCCGCAAGACCGGGAUAACUCCGGGAAACCGGAGCUAAUACCGGAUAACACCGAAGACCGCAUGGUCUUCGGUUGAAAGGCGGCCUUUGGGCUGUCACUUGCGGAUGGGCCCGCGGCGCAUUAGCUAGUUGGUGAGGUAACGGCUCACCAAGGCGACGAUGCGUAGCCGGCCUGAGAGGGUGACCGGCCACACUGGGACUGAGACACGGCCCAGACUCCUACGGGAGGCAGCAGUAGGGAAUCUUCCGCAAUGGGCGAAAGCCUGACGGAGCGACGCCGCGUGAGCGAAGAAGGCCUUCGGGUCGUAAAGCUCUGUUGUGAGGGACGAAGGAGCGCCGUUGAAGAAGGCGGCGCGGUGACGGUACCUCACGAGAAAGCCCCGGCUAACUACGUGCCAGCAGCCGCGGUAAUAC
rnacentral:rRNA from 1 species